rnacentral:rRNA from 1 species
CCUACGGGCGGCAGCAGUGGGGGAUAUUGCACAAUGGGGGGAACCCUGAUGCAGCGACGCCGCGUGGGUGAAGGAGUGCUUCGGCAUGUAAAGCCCUAUCGGAAGGGAAGAAGCAAGACGGUACCUGACUAAGAAGCCCCGGCUAACUACGUGCCAGCAGCCGCGGUAAUACGUAGGGGGCGAGCGUUAUCCGGAUUCACUGGGUGUAAAGGGAGCGUAGACGGCCAUGCAAGCCAGGGGUGAAAGCCCGGGGCCCAACCCCGGGACUGCCCUUGGAACUGCAUGGCUGGAGUGCGGGAGGGGCAGGCGGAAUGCGUGGUGUAGCGGUGAAAUGCGUAGAUAUCAGGAGGAACACCGGCGGCGAAGGCGGCCUGCUGGACUGCGACUGACGUUGAGGCACGAAAGCGUGGGGAGCAAACAGGAUUAGAUACCCGAGUAGUC